rnacentral:tRNA from 1 species
GGGCCUUUAGCUCAGCUGGUAGAGCAUCGCGUUUACACCGCGAGUGUCAUCGGUUCGAUCCCGGUAGGGCCCACCA